GACGAACGCUGGCGGCGUGCUUAACACAUGCAAGUCGAACGGAAAGGCCCUGCUUUUGUGGGGUGCUCGAGUGGCGAACGGGUGAGUAACACGUGAGUAACCUGCCCUUGACUUUGGGAUAACUUCAGGAAACUGGGGCUAAUACCGGAUAGGAGCUCCUGCUGCAUGGUGGGGGUUGGAAAGUUUCGGCGGUUGGGGAUGGACUCGCGGCUUAUCAGCUUGUUGGUGGGGUAGUGGCUUACCAAGGCUUUGACGGGUAGCCGGCCUGAGAGGGUGACCGGCCACAUUGGGACUGAGAUACGGCCCAGACUCCUACGGGAGGCAGCAGUGGGGAAUAUUGCACAAUGGGCGGAAGCCUGAUGCAGCAACGCCGCGUGCGGGAUGACGGCCUUCGGGUUGUAAACCGCUUUCGCCUGUGACCAAGCGUGAAUGACGGUAAUGGGUAAAGAAGCACCGGCUAACUACGUGGCAGCAGCCGCGGUGAUACGUAAGGCGCGAGCGUUGUCCGGAUUUAUUGGGCGUAAGGGCUCGUAGGUGGUUGAUCGCGUCGGAAGUGUAAUCUUGGGGCUUAACCCUGAGUGUGCUUUCGAUACGGGUUGACUUGAGGAAGGUAGGGGAGAAUGGAAUUCCUGGUGGAGCGGUGGAAUGCGCAGAUAUCAGGAGGAACACCAGUGGCGAAGGCGGUUCUCUAGGCCUUUCCUGACGCUGAGGAGCGAAAGCGUGGGGAGCGAACAGGCUUAGAUACCCUGGUAGUCCACGCUGUAAACGGUGGGUACUAGGUGUGGGGUCCAUUCCACGGGUUCCGUGCCGUAGCUAACACUUUAAGUACCCCGCCUGGGGAGUACGGCCGCAAGGCUAAAACUCAAAGGAAUUGACGGGGCCCCGCACAAGCGGCGGAGCAUGCGGAUUAAUUCGAUGCAACGCGUAGAACCUUACCUGGGUUUGACAUGGAUCGGGAGUGCUCAGAGAUGGGUGUGCCUCUUUUGGGGUCGGUACACAGGUGGUGCAUGGCUGUCGUCAGCUCGUGUCGUGAGAUGUUGGGUUAAGUCCCGCAACGAGCGCAACCCUUGUUCACUGUUGCCAGCACGUUAUGGUGGGGACUCAGUGGAGACCGCCGGGGUCAACUCGGAGGAAGGUGGGGAUGACGUCAAGUCAUCAUGCCCCUUAUGUCCAGGGCUUCACGCAUGCUACAAUGGCUGGUACAGAGAGUGGCGAGCCUGUAAGGGUGAGCGAAUCUCGGAAAGCCGGUCUCAGUUCGGAUUGGGGUCUGCAACUCGACCUCAUGAAGUCGGAGUCGCUAGUAAUCGCAGAUCAGCAACGCUGCGGUGAAUACGUUCCCGGG
rnacentral:rRNA from 1 species